rnacentral:rRNA from 1 species
GUCAAUGACCAUACCACCCUGAAUAUGCCCAAUCCCGUCUGAUCUCGGAAGCUCAGCACAGUUGGGCCUGGUUAAUACUUGGAUGGAAGAAAAUGGACAUGGAGUAAGAAAGUUCUCUCUGGGGAAUUAAUGUCC